rnacentral:rRNA from 1 species
CAGGCCUAACACAUGCAAGUCGAACGAGGUUUGGUCAGUUUGCGGUGGUGCUUGCAUCACCAAUUACCGAUCAAACCGAGUGGCGGACGGGUGAGUAACACGUGGGUAACCUGCCCUUCAGCAGGGGAUAACAUUUGGAAACAGAUGCUAAUACCGUAUAACCACGGAGACCGCAUGGUCUCCGGGUAAAAGAUGGCGCAAGCUAUCACUGAAGGAUGGACCCGCGGCGUAUUAGCCAGUUGGUGGGGUAACGGCCUACCAAAGCGAUGAUACGUAGCCGACCUGAGAGGGUAAUCGGCCACAUUGGGACUGAGACACGGCCCAAACUCCUACGGGAGGCAGCAGUAGGGAAUCUUCCACAAUGGACGCAAGUCUGAUGGAGCAACGCCGCGUGAGUGAAGAAGGCUUUCGGGUCGUAAAACUCUGUUAUUGAAGAAGAACGUGUGUGACAGUAACUGGUCAUGCAGUGACGGUAUUCAAUCAGAAAGUCACGGCUAACUACGUGCCAGCAGCCGCGGUAAU